rnacentral:lncRNA from 1 species
UCAAAAUUUCCUCACACUUGUGUUCUUGCAGGUUUAGCUCAACUUCUAUGAUGCUGCUGGCUCAUCAACUGCAUCUCUCAUCUCUUGUUCAGACCCAAUGUGUGCUUCGACUGAGUGCUGUCUAUUAUGCGUCAGAUUUAUUAUAUUUUGACACAGUCCUCGCGACCUCACUGAUUGCCAACUCUUCAGCACAAAAAUCCAACUGAAAUUCUGUACCUAUUGCAAUUCCAUGAUGUUAAAAGCUAUAGUAUGGUAAUAAACAACAAAUGUAUGUUCCAGCAGAAUAUUCAAAAAGCUUGAAAACCACCAGACAAUAAUAAUGACAAACACGAAUUCUAAGUAUCAAUUCCAACAAAAAAUAAGUAAUAAAUUUUCUUCUCUCUUUUUUGGUUUCUAAUUGACUGAAUACCACAGUUUUUUCCUUCUCAUUACUUUUAUCUUUUGCUUUGCAGAUUCAUGAAAUCCAUCCAAGAAGGUGGCCAGGGAGGAUCAGUGGAAUUGUCCAGAUAAAGUGAUAUGAAUAGGCAUCUCAUAUGAGCAGCUUAUACUGUAGAACAACAUGGACUGGUAGAAGAGCCUUGUAGACAGAGUUGAGCAGUAUGAAAGUUGAAAAUACAGCCUAAGGAUGCUUUCCACACAAUUGACGUGCAAGGACAACUUCAGUAAAAAAAAAAAGAAAAAAAAUACCAUCCAUGAAAUGGAUGAUCAAGUGAAAUAUUACUUUGAUACAUAUAUUCUUUACAAUUAACUCAAUUUAUUUGUGACUACCGCAACAAAUAAAGAGAACUUUAGAAUUGUUGGGCCCAUGCGAAGCAUGGGCAAGAUUA